CUGCAACCUCCACCUCCUGGGUUCAAGCGAUUCUCCUGCCCCGGCCCCCCAAGAAGCUGGGAUUACAGGCGCCUGCCACCAAGCCCAGCUAAUUUUUGUAUUUUUGUAUUUUUAGUAGAGACGGGGGUUUCACCGUGUUGACCAGGCUGGUCUCCAACUCCUGACCUCAAGUAAUCCGCCCACCUCAACCUCCCAAAGUGCUGGGAUUACAGGCAUGAGCCACAGCGCCCGGCUGGUGCUGGGAUUACAGGUGUGAGCCACAGCGCCUGGCUGGGAGAGUUUUCUUUGUCUGGAAUUUAUGAGACCCCACUGGUUUGAAGUCCUCUUGUUGAGCUAUCACCAUCUACCUGUCCAGCCCCGUGGAGUGGCACCUCAGAGGCCACAGGUUUGAGAACACAUCACUUACUACACUGACCAGUUGGACACAUGGCCUCACCUCCAGAGCUUGGCUCCUCAAAUGCAGGGCAGGGCUGGGUUGUGCCAAAGUGAAAGGCUCUCCACUCAAAGACCUCCUGGCCCCAAUCUCUGCUCCAUCACUUCCUGUGUGACCCUGGGCAAGUCACUUAAACUCUCUGUGCCUAACUACUCAAAACAGUUCCUGGAACAGUAAGUGCUCAGUAAAUACUAGCUGGCUAAAAGUUCAUAGAAUAAAAAGGCAGAAUCAGGAAGUGUUGUUCCUCUUAGCCUGCACGGAUCGUGAUUCUUUUAUUUUUCUCCCAUC
rnacentral:lncRNA from 10 species